rnacentral:sRNA from 1 species
AGAGCAUAUUUGAAACUUACAUGUCCAAGGAGGAUGUUUCGGAAGGCUUGAAGAGAGGAACACUCAUCCAGGGUGUAUUGAGAAUUAAUCCAAAGAAGUUUCAUGAAGCCUUCAUUCCUUCCCCGGAUGGUGAUCGAGACAUUUUUAUUGAUGGGGUUGUUGCUCGUAAUAGAGCCUUAAAUGGGGAUCUGGUGGUCGUGAAACUGCUUCCCGAGGAGCAUUGGAAGGUAGUUAAACCAGAGAGCAAUGACAAAGAAACAGAAGCUGCAUAUGAAUCAGAUAUCCCCGAGGAGCUCUGUGGACACCAUCUCCUGCAACAGUCCCUGAAAAGCUAUAAUGACAGUCCUGAUGUCAUUGUAGAGGCUCAGUUUGAUGGCAGCGACUCAGAAGAUGGACAUGGCAUCACACAAAAUGUGCUGGUUGAUGGUGUUAAGAAACUCUCAGUUUGUGUUUCUGAGAAAGGUGAGUACUAGACUAUGGUCUUACUUUUUUUUAAAGUAUACUGAUUAAGUAUUGGAAUUCCCUCUCUGCUGCAGAGUAAAUAACACAAUGCCAUUGAUAUAGUCCUAAUUUUUGACCUGUGGC